UUCGUUUCUUUCUUUCUAUAUUUUUUUUCUUUAUUCUACUGGAAAAACAGAAGAAAAGUUUCUUUAUUUUUUCUUUUUGGUUAAGUAGAAGAAAAGUCUCUUUACUCUCUUCUUUCUUUCUUUUCCUUCUCAUUUGUUGUUUCGUUGAAACUUGAAACCUCUUCUCUCUCAAAGUAGUAAUCUAAAUUGGAAAAGUAUAAUAUAUUCUCUACUACCCGUCUAGUCUGCCUAUCGCACAAUUGAGGAAGAAGAAGAAGAAGCCCUUUUAAAGGUUCCAAACUGCAGGUUCCCAGUUAAGAAUGCCAGCUCAAAGAAAACCCGAGGAAAUUGUCCCAAUACUACUGGCUCGUCUGGAAAAAGCUAAGCAAUUUGUAGUAGGGAGUAUCAGCGAGAACAGUGAGGGAGACCCUCUGGUUUUGAAAUUCAAAGAAAUCGAGAUUGAACUUGGCAGCAUGAAACGCUUGUUCCCCAGGAUAAAACAUUGGGAAGGGAAACUCAUGGAACAGUUCAGAACUUUGGAGCAAGACAUCGAUGAUGAUGUUUUCUUUAAACAGCAUGACGAGGCUAAUGAGAUUCUUAAUAGAUUGAAGCGCAUCAGUGAGAGUGUUGUGUCCGUAAAACAGCUAUUUUCGGCAGUGGAAAGGCAGCUAAUGGAUAGAACACGUACGAUGCCUUCUUCUGGGAUGCAAUUCCCUUCUGAGGAGGCUUUUAGGAAGGAUCAGACAAUAUCUGAAGAGUGGUUGAGACUUGGUGUGGAGGAAAAAAUUUAUGCCAGCAAAGCAAUAUCAAAUUUUCAGAAAAGUUUUGACUGUCUGGAGAGCUAUCAAUUGAAAGCAUGCUCCUUGUGCCUUUCAAUUUUUCCUGAGAAUAGCAUCAUAAAGAAGAGACCCCUUAUUUACUGGUGGAUAGGAGAGGGUAUGGUCACUAAAACCUCAGAAAAGACUGCAGAGGAGGUUGGAGAAGAUGUCUUUAAUGAAUUGAUAAAUGAAAGCUUCAUAAUCCCCAUAUUUGAGAACCUUUCUCCCAAUAUAAACACUUUUAUUGUGCACCCUUGGAUUCGAAGAAUGCUGAUCUUGGUUGCAAAAAGACUUAGCUUUUUUGAAUUUACUCCCUCAGGGAUGCCUAGCAAUGGUCAUCGUCGUGCAUUCUUAUUGGCGGGUGGUAGUGAUUCAUACAGCACAAUGACCGAGGAUACUCUUAUGGUUUUCAACGUAAAUGAUCAAUAUCUUGGUUUUAAACCUGACUGGCUCUCGAAGUUGAAUAGGGUUGAGGUUCUUCAGUUGGGCCGGUGGCAAAACUCUGUCAAACAUCAUAUUGAAGUGGAAAAUAAAGAUUUGACAGUUGAGUCGAAGAAGAAAAAGAAAGUGGAAUAUGAAGUCUCUUUGGAUGGUUUGGGAAGUCAGACAUCCCUAAGAUAUCUAAGCCUCAGAGGCGUUUCUAGAUUGACUAACCUACCUCCUUCGGUGCUUAACCUAAUAAGCCUUGAGAUCCUUGAUUUACGUGCAUGUCACAAUCUAGAGAAACUGCCUUCUGAUAUUUCAGCACUGAGGAACCUUACCCAUUUGGAUUUAUCAGAAUGUUACCUGCUCGAAAGCAUGCCAAAGGGUAUUGAAGAGCUCUCUGCUCUUCAAGUACUUAAGGGUUUUGUGAUAGGAAUCGUCAGAAGAAAUCCAUGCAGGGUAAGUGACCUUGCUCAGUUGAAAGGUUUAAGGAAAUUGAGCAUACGAAUAGGGAAUGAAGCUUUAACAGAAGGGGAGUUUUCAAACUUGAAGGACUUCACGGCUCUUCAAAUUCUUGUGAUAUCUUGGGGAAUAGUUUUGUCGCAGUCGAGUACAAAUGCUGCUCUGAGUCCAUUCUCAGUUCCACCAAAACUAAAGAAACUUGAUCUCAGGUGUAUCCCUAUAGUAACCUGGCCUGAAUGGUUAGGGCCUGGCAGAUUGAUAUCUUUGGAAAAACUUUACAUCAGGGGAGGUGAACUCAAAAGCUUAAAGAACCAAGGUGAACAAACCUGGAAAGUUAAAAUUUUACGUUUGAAGUAUCUGAAGAACUUGAAAAUUGACGUGCAAGAAUUAAAAACAAUGUUUCCUAAGGUGGAGUACUUGGAGAAAGUCAAAUGCAACAAGAUUGGUCCACAUGAAUAUGAUCCAGAUAUCACAUGGAACAAAAUGCAGCAUGAGAAUGCAAUUGUAGCAACUACUUGAUCUGAAUUAAAAUUUCUCUUGCUACUCCACCUGUCAGAGCAAGGUACUUCUUUCAAUCUUUAGGUAGAGUACCCUCAAAACUGAUGAAUAGUGGAAAGACAUAAUCUGCAGAAAAGAAUAUGUGAUAUAACUGUUAUUCUUAUUUUUGCAAGACAAAGUCCAACCUGCAUGGUCCAGAGAGUUGGAGAGAGAGGAAGUGCUGCUUGAUAAUCCUUCUGCUUUAAAUUUGUAAGAGGGAAGGAGCAUGCAGCUGCAUGAGUGUUUUUAUGCCUCUUGGACAGUUGCUUGUGACUUGUCUAGGACUUCCAAUUAUCUCUUCAGGCUGUCUUUUACUGAUUGGACGGUUAUGAUAGCAAAACAAGAUAAUAGAUUUGGUCUGUCGAGGCACUGAUUAUGAGGCAUCCCACAUCGGUGGUGGGAAAAUGAAAGGAAAGGUCUCAAACUGCUCCAGUCUCUCCAUGCGCGAAGUGUUUGCCUGGUGUAAUUUGAGGCAAAGUUCGACGCGAUGCCCAUUUAAUGCGGUGAUUGUUCUUGUUCAUGGCUUGCUCCCAGUGGUGACUCAGAUCAGGGGAAAAAGCUUUAUGUUUUAUGGAUCCAUUUUCCGGGCUUUUCAAUUUUCCUUUUGCAUUAGAAUUUCUCUACUGUCGCAGGCUCCUGGAAGUUAACCAAAUCUGGAAGUGAAUGCAAUUGCGGCUGCUUAAUCUGCUUUGUAGUUUGGAAUAGGCUAUUUACGAAAAAGUAUGAGGCCUGAUGUACCUGUAUAUUUGCAUUAUUUACCUGAGACAAUGUGGAAUUUGACAUUCAUCAAUCAUCUUGGUCAGACUUGCAUCACAAA